CUUUCUUCCUUCUUCUUCAUUUUUCAUUUUCUUAUUCACUGUCCUCACAGUUUCUCUAACCUAGUUGUCCAGUUUCCAUCUUGCAUGUGUUCACAGUUCACCACCGUCUCCUCUCCACUGCAGUUCUCGACUUGCAUUCCUUUUUCACGAUUCCUCAGGGAGUGUGCGACACUAUCCUUCGCUUCACCGAGUAUGUUCCUCCAUUAUGCAAAAGAAGAGAUUUCAAGGACGCACUUACGAUGUGCUUAAUUCCUGAGGUUGAUCUUGAGUUGGAACCAAAUGGUUUGUCUUUCCUUUUUCUCUUCAGCUUGGUGUCCAUGACAAUAGAGCUGCUGCAGCAUCCAAUUGGUCCGACAGAGGGGUUGCAGCAGCUAAUGUCUUCACAUUUGACUGAGUUCUUACUUUCAUUGAAAGCUUAGCUGGUUUACUAGCUGUUUCAGAAGACCUUUAGCUUUUGUUGAAGAAAGAAUAUGAUUAGAUUAUGACUGAGCUGCAGUAUUUUAUUCAUGAUCUAAUCAUCAAAUUGUUAUAUAUACUUGACAAAUUGUUCCUUCUCUUGAAACUUGUAAUUGUAUAGUAAAGUUGUUUCUUACCCUGGUUAAGAAUUCAGAGGGAAAAAGAAGUUGAUCAGUAAUUUCGUUUGUUUACGGUUUUUUUAUGAUUGUUAGGACAAUUAGGUAUUAAGCUCUUUAGAGUGAAGCAGGUAAACUGUUGCUUAGGAGAUCAGGAAAAGCUCCUGAUGACAUCUCAAGUGUUGUACUGGUUGAGAAGGACAGGUACGCUUAUUGAAGGUUCAAAAACAUUUGUUAAAAUUUCAAGAUUAGGAGCUUUAGCAUCUAUCUAUAAUGUUCCAUAUUCCAUUCGGUUGUAAAGAGCUGGUGAUAAAUAAAUGUUUUUCUUUUUGCCUCAACGAUUUUCAUCCAAAUUAGAUCACCAUUUUUGUUAAAUUAGUAAGCUUCAACUCAUCAGUUUAUGCUUGAUAUUGUAUAACAAAUAUCUCAUAUUUGAGAUCCCUUGCAGUUGUGAAUGUCAAAUGAU